GCAGGCAUAGUGUAGUGGUAACAUAGCCCAUUAAAUCACAUUUGUCGGGCUGUCCAGGGUUCGAAUCCCUGUGUCUGAC